rnacentral:rRNA from 1 species
GCGUGAAAGUCCUUCGGGAUGAGUAAAGCGGCGGACGGGUGAGUAACGCGUAGGAAUCUACCUAAUAGUGGGGGAUAACGUUUCGAAAGGAACGCUAAUACCGCAUACGUUCUGAGGAAGAAAGCAGGGGAUCGCAAGACCUUGCGCUAUUAGAUGAGCCUGCGUCCGAUUAGCUAGUUGGCGGGGUAAGAGCCCACCAAGGCGACGAUCGGUAGCUGGUCUGGGAGGAUGAUCAGCCACACUGGAACUGAGACACGGUCCAGACUCCUACGGGAGGCAGCAGUGGGGAAUAUUGGACAAUGGGCGCAAGCCUGAUCCAGCCAUGCCGCGUGUGUGAAGAAGGCCUUCGGGUUGUAAAGCACUUUUGUUGGGGAAGAAAAGCUCUCGGUUAAUACCCGGGGGUUCUGACGGUACCCAAGGAAU